GCAAGGGAGGGCCAACAUCUUUGACUCUUCAAAUCUCUGUGCUGAAGAAAAUGGAGCAAUACCAACAAAAAUUGGGAGUUUGGAACUGGAAAGUAAACAGGAAAUACUGCUAAAAUACCCAGUUAAAUCUUACAGCCAGACUAUGAGAAUGGAGUUAGUACUACCAGCAUUUUAUAACAGCCCUUCCCAUCAAAACACAGAAAUUCAUGGCUUGUUCGAAGCUAGAGAAAACAUGAGCUUUGGAAUCACACAGUACUGGGUUCAAGUUCUAGCAUUUGCAUGUACCAGCUUGAGUGACCAUGGGUGUGCUGUGCUCCCUAGGUCUGAAGGCCUUGUGAAUGACUGACUUCACCCUUCUGCACACUGAUCUUCCUAACAAUAAAUGGAACUAAGUUCCAGAAAAACAACAACGAAAAGAGACAUACUCAAGGUCACUCAUGAGUGAGUAGGUGUAUCAGGUUUAAAAUCUGGGUGUCCUGAAUCGUAGCCCAGUGUCCUAGGAUUCUCCUUUAACAUACAGCUGUUUUGACCAUUAAAUUUUAAUGUGUUU
rnacentral:lncRNA from 1 species